GAGGAAUCUUCCACAAUGGGCGAAAGCCUGAUGGAGCAACGCCGCGUGCAGGAUGAAGGCCUUCGGGUCGUAAACUGCUUUUAUAAGUGAAGAAUAUGACGGUAACUUAUGAAUAAGCACCGGCUAACUACGUGCCAGCAGCCGCGGUCAUACGUAGGGUGCAAGCAUUAUCCGGAGUGACUGGGCGUAAAGAGUUGCGUAGGUGGACAAGUUAGCGAAUAGUGAAAUCUGGUGGCUCAACCACACAGACUAUUAUUCGAACUGCUUGUCUCGAGAGUAGCAGAGGUAACUGGAAUUUCUAGUGUAGGAGUGAAAUCCGUAGAUAUUAGAAGGAACACCAAUGGCGUAGG
rnacentral:rRNA from 1 species